AGAGUUUGAUCCCUGGGCUCAGGAUGAACGCUAGCGGGAGGCCUAACACAUGCAAGCCGAGCGGUAUUGUUUCUUCGGAAAUGAGAGAGCGGCGUACGGGUGCGGAACACGUGUGCAACCUACCUUUAUCUGGAGGAUAGCCUUUCGAAAGGAAGAUUAAUACUCCAUAAUAUAUUGACUGGCAUCAGUUGAUAUUGAAAGCUCCGGCGGAUAAAGAUGGGCACGCGCAAGAUCAGCUAGUUGGUGAGGUAACGGCUCACCAAGGCGAUGAUCUUUAGGGGCCUGAGAGGGUGAUCCCCCACACUGGUACUGAGUCACGGACCAGACUCCUACGGGAGGCAGCAGUGAGGAAUAUUGGUCAAUGGGUGCAAGCCUGAACCAGCCAUCCCGCGUGAAGGACGACUGCCCUAUGGGUUGUAAACUUCUUUUGUAUAGGGAUAAACCUACUCUCGUGAGGGUAGCUGAAGGUACUAUACGAAUAAGCACCGGCUAACUCCGUG
rnacentral:rRNA from 1 species